AUACGGAGGAUGCAAGCGUUAUCCGGAUUUAUUGGGUUUAAAGGGUGCGUAGGCGGUUUGCUAAGCGGGAGGUGAAAUGCCGGCGCUCAACGUCGGAAGUGCCUCCCGAACUGGUGGACUGGAAUGACUCUGCCGUGGGAGGAAUGUGUAGUGUAGCGGUGAAAUGCUUAGAGAUUACACAGAACACCGAUUGCGAAGGCGUCUCACGAAGGGUUGAUUGACGCUGAGGCACGAAAGCGUGGGGAUCAAACAGGAUUAGAUACCCUGGUAGUCCACGCAGUAAACGAUGAUGGCUAACCGCUGGUUUUUUCGGAUCAGUGGCCAAGCGAAAGCGAUAAGCCAUCCACCUGGGGAGUACGACCGCAAGGUUGAAACUUAAAGGAAUUGACGGGG
rnacentral:rRNA from 1 species